rnacentral:rRNA from 1 species
GACGAACGCUGGCGGCGUGCCUAAUACAUGCAAGUCGAACGAACCGCGACUAAGUGCUUGCACUAAGUCAAGGUGAGUGGCGAACGGGUGAGUAACACGUGGGUAACCUACCUCAUAGUGGGGGAUAACAGUCGGAAACGACUGCUAAUACCGCAUAGGACAUAGGAUCACAUGAUCCAGUGAGGAAAGGUGGCGCAAGCUAUCGCUAAGAGAUGGACCCGCGGUGCAUUAGCUAGUUGGUAGGGUAAAGGCCUACCAAGGCGAUGAUGCAUAGCCGACCUGAGAGGGUGAUCGGCCACAUUGGGACUGAGACACGGCCCAAACUCCUACGGGAGGCAGCAGUAGGGAAUCUUCCGCAAUGGACGCAGGUCUGACGGAGCAACGCCGCGUGAGUGAAGAAGGUCUUCGGAUCGUAAAGCUCUGUUGUUAGAGAAGAACAGCGCAUAGAGUAACUGCUAUGCGUGUGACGGUAUCUAACCAGAAAGCCACGGCUAACUACGUG